GCCUGGGUGGCUCUGUGGUUGAGCGUCUGUCUUCAGCUCAGGUCAUGAUCCAGGGUCCUGGGAUCAAGUCCCACAUCGGGCU
rnacentral:tRNA from 1 species